rnacentral:lncRNA from 1 species
AUGAUUUAUAAACAACUUUAUCAAGAGGUUUAUUGUACAGAGAGCAGAGGGAUAAAAUGGGAGUUAAAGGGAAUAAGGGCUAAGGACAUGGUUACUGUCCGGGGGCGUAGCAAUAAACUCAAAGGGUGCUGUCAGGUGGGAGAUGGGCAGUCCUUGUGCUUUAAAAAAAUUACCUAUUCAGUUUUUAGUACGCUUAUCAAGGAUCUUAUAUUUGUUAAAUGUGAGUCUAUAAUGCAUCUGAAGCUUCCUGGAACAUGUAUGUCAUGGGUCUAACUUAUAAGCAUGAUCUCUAAUGUGCUGCUCAAAUUUGGAUAUUUCCCUGGAAUUUGAUCCUAUUGGCUGGAGUCUGGAACAAAGGGGAGAGAGCUUGGAAGCAGAGGUAGAACCCCAGCAGAGACAGGUUAGAAGUUGAUAUUUAUGUUGACAGUACAGAUGUUAACCAGGACAUCUGGUCAACCUAGUUAUAAAAUCUUUGACCUUUAUAGAAGUAGAAAGGAAUGUACCCAGUUCACCCUUUUGUGGUGUGUGUGAUGUGUGUGAUGUGGAGUGUGAGAAUGUUCUCAAGGACAAAGGGAGCCAAGUCUGAGUUUGCCUGCUUAGUUUACCUUACACAGAGUUGGAGAGAACUGGGAGACUCAGGCAAAAGGACCCAGAAGACACAGCCCCUGCGGACACCAAUGGAUUCUCCCCAGGCUGCCUUUGGGUGAGCCCCACACCUCUCUGUGUGUAGCAGGAAGUUUGGGCCCAUGAAGCAUCUGAGCAUCAUGUAAGCAAAUCUCUGCACCAUGGCAACAGAGCCAGUCUCUAGAAUUUGAAGAAAAAGUUCACUAAGACAAACAGGGUUUUUCUACACUUCAAUUUCCUGUCACAAUCGUCGCAGCACAGAAAGCAAAAUCCAGCAGUUAUUUUUAAAGAUGUAAAAAACUUACAAUUUUUAAAAUCGUUUUUAUGUCUUUUUCUGCUCUGUUACAGAACUGUCACUAGGCCUAAGUAGCCAGAAUUUGCAAACGAGCAUUGGUGGCAGCGUUAUAGAGGUGAGAGUUAGGAAAAGGUUUUCAGUACGAAGCUCUCUUUAAUAUCCGGCCAGGAUAGCAAGGGGACAGGAUGUUUCCUGGCUAAGCUCUCUCGAGUCCACCAUAAUUGGGUUUUAUGACAUUGUGUUGAGUGGCGGUUCCCACCGCGGCAGCCUUUUCCUAACAUGGUGGUGCACAGGCUCUCUGAUUUUAUUCCUGCUCACCUCUGCAGCCUCAUCUCCAUCCCGCGCUGGACUCGU